GACGAACGCUGGCGGCGUGCCUAACACAUGCAAGUCGAGCGAGAGACUUCGGUCUCUAGCGGCGGACGGGUGAGUAACACGUGGGUAACCUGCCUCAAAGAGGGGGAUAGCCUCCCGAAAGGGAGAUUAAUACCGCAUAAUAUUAAAUUUUCGCAUGAAAGUUUAAUUAAAGGAGUAAUCCGCUUUGAGAUGGACCCGCGGCGCAUUAGCUAGUUGGUGAGGUAACGGCUCACCAAGGCCACGAUGCGUAGCCGACCUGAGAGGGUGAUCGGCCACAUUGGAACUGAGACACGGUCCAGACUCCUACGGGAGGCAGCAGUGGGGAAUAUUGCACAAUGGGCGAAAGCCUGAUGCAGCAACGCCGCGUGAGUGAUGAAGGCCUUCGGGUUGUAAAGCUCUGUCUUUGGGGACGAUUAUGACGGUACCCAAGGAGGAAGCCACGGCUAACUACGUGCCAGCAGCCGCGGUAAUACGUAGGUGGCAAGCGUUGUCCGGAUUUACUGGGCGUAAAGGAUGCGUAGGCGGAUAUUUAAGUCAGAUGUGAAAUACCCGAGCUUAACUUGGGUGCUGCAUUUGAAACUGGAUAUCUAGAGUGCGGGAGAGGAAAGUGGAAUUCCUAGUGUAGCGGUGAAAUGCGUAGAGAUUAGGAAGAACACCAGUGGCGAAGGCGACUUUCUGGACCGUAACUGACGCUGAGGCAUGAAAGCGUGGGGAGCAAACAGGAUUAGAUACCCUGGUAGUCCACGCCGUAAACGAUGGGUACUAGGUGUAGGGGGUAUCGACUCCCUCUGUGCCGCAGUUAACACAAUAAGUAC
rnacentral:rRNA from 1 species